GACGUAGGAUGCAAGCGUUGUCCGGAAUUAUUGGGCGUAAAGAGUUCGUAGGUGGUCUCUUAAGUCUGGUGUUAAAUCUCGGGGCUCAACCCCGAAACAGCAUUGGAAACUGAUUGACUAGAGUGCGGUAGAGGUAAAGAGAAUUCCUGGUGUAGCGGUGAAAUGCGUAGAUAUCAGGAGGAAUGCCAGAGGCGAAAGCGCUUUACUGGGCCGUAACUGACCCUGAGGAACGAAAGCUAGGGGAGCGAAAGGG
rnacentral:rRNA from 1 species